ACACGCCUCCCGGCUCCAGCCCUUUGGUGCACCCACCCCCUGUGCGGGCUCUCGCGGGGCCGCAAGCCGCCAGCGGGUCAGGUGCAGCUCGGAGCAGCGCUCGAAGCUGCCCAAGGACACAGCUUUGAGAUAGUCAUGUGGUGCUGAGACCAUCUGGACGUUGUACAUGAUGGAGCCCAGUUCAGUCCUCUGUAUAAACUUCAAGAUUCUGGCAGGCGGGUGUGGAGAUCUGUUCAUCUUGCGGCCACCCAAGACAAGCUUGUCCUGGAGGCCGGAAGUCUGAGAUCAGGGUGCCAGCAUGAUGAAGGCCUUCUUCCUGGUUCACAGCCAG